rnacentral:rRNA from 1 species
AACGAACGCUGGCGGCAUGCCUAACACAUGCCAGUCGAACGAGACCUUCGGGUCUAGUGGCGCACGGGUGCGUAACGCGUGGGAACCUGCCCUUAGGUUCGGAAUAACUCCCCGAAAGGGGUGCUAAUACCGGAUAAUGUCUUCGGACCAAAGAUUUAUCGCCUUUGGAUGGGCCCGCGUUGGAUUAGCUAGUUGGUAGGGUAAAAGCCUACCAAGGCGACGAUCCAUAGCUGGUCUGAGAGGAUGAUCAGCCACACUGGGACUGAGACACGGCCCAGACUCCUACGGGAGGCAGCAGUGGGGAAUAUUGGACAAUGGGCGAAAGCCUGAUCCAGCAAUGCCGCGUGAGUGAUGAAGGCCUUAGGGUUGUAAAGCUCUUUUACCCGGGAUGAUAAUGACAGUACCGGGAGAAUAAACUCCGGCUAACUCCGUG